GAUGAACGCCGACAGAAUGCUUAACACAUGCAAGUCAACUUGAACUUCGGUUUGGGUGGCGGAUGGGUGAGUAACACGUAAAGAACUUGCCUCGCAGCUAGGGACAACAUUUGGAAACGAAUGCUAAUACCUGAUAUUAUGAUUAUAUGGCAUCGUAUAAUUAUGAAAGCUAUAUGCGCUGUGAGAGAGCUUUGCGUCCCAUUAGCUAGUUGGAGAGGUAACAGCUCACCAAGGCGAUGAUGGGUAGCCGGCCUGAGAGGGUGAUCGGCCACAAGGGGACUGAGACACGGCCCUUACUCCUACGGGAGGCAGCAGUGGGGAAUAUUGGACAAUGGACCGAGAGUCUGAUCCAGCAAUUCUGUGUGCACGAUGAAGUUUUUCGGAAUGUAAAGUGCUUUCAGUUGGGAAGAAAAAAAUGACGGUACCAACAGAAGAAGUGACGGCUAAAUACGU
rnacentral:rRNA from 1 species